ACUUUAGACUGAAGGAUUUCUGUGGAGUAAAGUUGAGAAUCGACACGAGCUCCUGCGCUGUCUCCUCUCCCGCUGACGUGGUCGGGCAAAGGACCGUGGGAUGCUCCAAUAAUACAGACAGCAGGAGUAUCUAGGUUUGUCAAGAAGUUCAGCUAAAAAACUCUCAGAGGUGGUGCAGGACAAAAACUGAGUUGGACUCAAUAAAAAAGAGGAAAUUCUCUGAUCCCAGGAGGUCAUGAUGAGGAUUUAUGGUGAUGAUGAUGGUGGAGCUGUGAUGAAAUAAUAAACAGAACUGUUCUCAUCAACCACAGAUCCGCUCUCAUCCACCACAGAACCGCUCUCGUCAACCACAGAACUGCUCUCGUCCACCACAGACCUGCUCUCAUCCACCACAGAACCGCUCUCGUCAACCACAGAUCCGCUCUCGUCAACCACAGAUCCGCUCUCGUCAACCACAGAACUGCUCUCAUCCACCACAGAACUGCUCUCAACAACCACAGACCUGCUCUCAUCAACCACAGACCUGCUCUCAUCAACCACAGACCUGCUCUCAUCAACCACAGACCUGCUCUCAUUCACCACUGAACCGCUCUCGUCAACCACAGAACCGCUCUCAUCCACCACAGAACCGCUCUCAUCCACCACAGAACCGCUUUCAUUCACCACAGACCUGCUUUCAUCAACCACAGAACCGCUUUCAUUCACCACAGAACCGCUCUCAUCAACCACAGACCUGCCACAUACUGGAUAUUUUGUUGUUUUUCGCACUUUCUCAGAUCAGCAGUUUCUGAAAUACUCAGACCAGCCUUUCUGGCACCCAAUUUAUUUAUUUUUUUGCCAUGUUUUUUCCCCAAUUCUGUUGUUUGACGUGAAUACCUGUGUCUAUAUGCCACAUGGAGUUCCUGUUAAAAUGGCUAGUGAGUGUAUAAUACUAUAUAAUUAAAACUAGAGGUUAUAUGGCACGUAGCGGUGUUGAUGCCAAUAACAAAAUACGGUGGAUCGGAUAUCGGAGAAAACAUAUCGGCUAUCGGAUCCUGUAACAAACAGCAAAGACUGGAAUUGGAUUUGGAACAGAAAUUUAUUUUGGAACCGGAAAUGUUUAUAUAUAAAGAGACUUGACUGUUUUUUUCUUUUGUUAGGAUUGAUUUUAUUAUAUUUAUGUUUACUUCUGGUUUUGCAGCUAAUCCCUGACAGCCAGCAGUCAGUCACUGCUGUCUGAGAAGUGAACUAUUAUGAAAUAUGGUACCUACUUUACUGAAACAUUUGUUCUAUAAGAUUUAAUUUUGUGUUGGAAAAGUAAUGUUUGGAAAUCUAAAAUGUUUUUUACUGACUCAGUAAUGCAGAAAUCAUAAAAGAAACAUCUGUAACAAAAUGUGUACUAAAGAAAUGGAGUGUCUAAGACUUCGGAGUUUAAAAAAGAAAUUAUGAUAGAUAGAUAGAUAGAUAGAUAGAUAGAUAGAUAGAUAGAUAGAUAGAAAAACAGAUAGAUAGAUGGACAGACGGACUG